CAAGGUCUAUUUUAGAAUGGCAUUAUUGUUAUCUCAUAAAGUAGACAAGACGGUAUAGUAUCGGGCAGAUAUCGUAUCUCAUUAUACGGCAAUUACAUCUCGUUUUAUUAGCUCGUCACUGCGAAAAGCAGCAUGAAAUGUUGAAAUUGUAACGGAUUUAGAACAUUGUAAUACCUAUCAUGUGCAAACAAAUAGGCAUAGAUAGUCGAGUUUAUUUUACUUCAUAUUAUCAUGCUCUCUUGUUGACGAGUUGUAAUUAGAGAUUUAUAAUCCCCGCGAAGGGCGUCGAGCGAAAACUCCUCGAGAGGAAAACCCACAGACAGAAUAAGCCGGCAGAAUGCGCCGAUCGUCAUUCUUGGAUUGUAACUGCGACAGGCGCAAUCGAUCCGAGUGAAAAAGCACGAGGUGCAGAAACAAGCAACACAGUACUCGUUCGCGCAUUUCCUGACGAGGUCGAAACAGACGCACGUUCGUUCCGCGCGUUCACCAAGUUGUACGGAAAUGGCACGAUACGCCGAGAACGUGUACUACGAAACUGCCAUUAAACUGACGCGUGAAGCUGCCCAGUUUGAGAGUAGCAGCGGACCUGACCAAACCUAAUACUAUGUUGUAAGUGCAUUAA